GCUUGCUCCCUGAUGUUAGCGGCGGACGGGUGAGUAACACGUGGGUAACCUGCCUGUAAGACUGGGAUAACUCCGGGAAACCGGGGCUAAUACCGGAUGCUUGUUUGAACCGCAUGGUUCAAACAUAAAAGGUGGCUUCGGCUACCACUUACAGAUGGACCCGCGGCGCAUUAGCUAGUUGGUGAGGUAAUGGCUCACCAAGGCAACGAUGCGUAGCCGACCUGAGAGGGUGAUCGGCCACACUGGGACUGAGACACGGCCCAGACUCCUACGGGAGGCAGCAGUAGGGAAUCUUCCGCAAUGGACGAAAGUCUGACGGAGCAACGCCGCGUGAGUGAUGAAGGUUUUCGGAUCGUAAAGCUCUGUUGUUAGGGAAGAACAAGUACCGUUCGAAUAGGGCGGUACCUUGACGGUACCUAACCAGAAAGCCACGGCUAACUACGUGCCAGCAGCCGCGGUAAUACGUAGGUGGCAAGCGUUGUCCGGAAUUAUUGGGCGUAAAGGGCUCGCAGGCGGUUCCUUAAGUCUGAUGUGAAAGCCCCCGGCUCAACCGGGGAGGGUCAUUGGAAACUGGGGAACUUGAGUGCAGAAGAGGAGAGUGGAAUUCCACGUGUAGCGGUGAAAUGCGUAGAGAUGUGGA
rnacentral:rRNA from 2 species